rnacentral:rRNA from 1 species
AGAGUUUGAUCAUGGCUCAGAACGAACGCUGGCGGCGUGGAUAAGACAUGCAAGUCGAGCGCUGGCUGCCGGGUAGCAAUAUUCGGCAGUUGGAGCGGCGCAAGGGUGCGUAACACGUGGGUAAUCUGCCAUGAAGUUUGGGAUAACUUGCUGAAAGGCGAGCUAAUACCGGAUGUGACGGCUGGGAGGCCUCUCCUGGUUGUUAAAGUUGGGGACCGUAAGGCCUGACGCUUCAUGAUGAGCCCGCGGCCUAUCAGCUAGUUGGUGAGGUAACGGCUCACCAAGGCUAAGACGGGUAGCUGGUCUGAGAGGACGACCAGCCACACUGGAACUGAGACACGGUCCAGACACCUACGGGUGGCAGCAGUCGAGAAUUUUUCACAAUGGGCGCAAGCCUGAUGGAGCGACGCCGCGUGGGGGAUGAAUGGCUUCGGCCCGUAAACCCCUGUCAUUUGCGAUCAAACCUCGUUAUUUAAAAGAUGACGAGCUGAUGGUAGCGGAAGAGGAAGGGACGGCUAACUCUGUGCCAGCAGCCGCGGUAAUAC